rnacentral:rRNA from 1 species
AUUGAACGCUAGCGGCAGGCUUAACACAUGCAAGUCGAGCGGGGGAAGGUAGCUUGCUACCGGACCUAGCGGCGGACGGGUGAGUAAUGCUUAGGAAUCUGCCUAUUAGUGGGGGACAACGUCUCGAAAGGGAUGCUAAUACCGCAUACGUCCUACGGGAGAAAGCAGGGGAUCUUCGGACCUUGCGCUAAUAGAUGAGCCUAAGUCGGAUUAGCUAGUUGGUGGGGUAAAGGCCUACCAAGGCGACGAUCUGUAGCGGGGCUGAGAGGAUGAUCCGCCACACUGGGACUGAGACACGGCCCGGACUCCUACGGGAGGCAGCAGUGGGGAAUAUUGGACAAUGGGGGGAACCCUGAUCUAGCCAUGCCGCGUGUGUGAAGAAGGCCUUAUGGUUGUAAAGCACUUUAAGCGAGGAGGAGGCUACUCUAGUUAAUACCUAGGGAUAGUGGACGUUACUCGCAGAAUAAGCACCGUCUAACUCUGUGCCAGCCGCCGUGGUAA